GUCUCUGGUGGCCUAGGGGUUAGAGUGUCUGCCUCAGAUGCGGGAGGUCGUGGGUUUGAUACCUGGUCAAGUCAUACCAAAGACU